rnacentral:rRNA from 1 species
UGGGGAAUUUUGGACAAUGGGCGAAAGCCUGAUCCAGCAAUGCCGCGUGUGUGAAGAAGGCCUUCGGGUUGUAAAGCACUUUUGUCCGGAAAGAAAUCCUUGGCUCUAAUACAGUCGGGGGAUGACGGUACCGGAAGAAUAAGCACCGGCUAACUACGUGCCAGCAGCCGCGGUAAUACGUAGGGUGCAAGCGUUAAUCGGAAUUACUGGGCGUAAAGCGUGCGCAGGCGGUUUGCUAAGACUGAUGUGAAAUCCCCGGGCUCAACCUGGGAACUGCAUUGGUGACUGGCAGGCUAGAGUAUGGCAGAGGGGGGUAGAAUUCCACGUGUAGCAGUGAAAUGCGUAGAGAUGUGGAGGAAUACCGAUGGCGAAGGCAGCCCCCUGGGCCAAUACUGACGCUCAUGCACGAAAGCGUGGGGAGCAAACAGGAUUAGAUACCCUGGUAGUCCACGCCCUAAACGAUGUCAACUAGUUGUUGGGGAUUCAUUUCCUUAGUAACGUAGCUAACGCGUGAAGUUGACCGCCUGGGGAGUACGGUCGC